CGUGGGUAACCUGCCCAAGAGAUCGGGAUAACACCUGGAAACAGAUGCUAAUACCGGAUAACAACAGAUGAUGCCUAUCAACUGUUUAAAAGAUGGUUCUGCUAUCACUCUUGGAUGGACCUGCGGUGCAUUAGCUAGUUGGUAGGGUAACGGCCUACCAGGGCGAUGAUGCAUAGCCGAGUUGAGAGACUGAUCGGCCACAUUGGGACUGAGACACGGCCCAAACUCCUACGGGAGGCAGCAGUC
rnacentral:rRNA from 1 species